rnacentral:lncRNA from 10 species
AGUGCGCCUGCGCGGCGCGGAUGGGCGAGGCGUGACCGAGGGGCGAGGCGUGACCGAGGGGCUCGCCGCGGCUCCUGCGCCUGCGCGGCGGGGAACGGCGACCGGCUGAGGGGACUAGGGGAGCGCGGUGCUUCGGUGGCGGAGGUCACGGUGGCCUCCAUCCUAAAGGGCUGCGGGCGUCCCGGACGGCGGUCCCAAGCGCUGCUCACGCUGCUCUUAAGUGAGCCCUGGACGAGGCGCGGUGGGCCCUCAUAGUCCGCGCCGGCGCCCUCGCUCCACACCGCGGCGUCCGGCCCUGGGCUCCCGCCGAUGUCCGCGUGGGACUUUUAGGGGAUUUGUUUAUUUUUGUACGUUAACCACACUAGAAACGGCCCCAGAAUGGGCUGAAACGUGUGCUGCUGAAGCUGCCACCUAAACUCCCGAGAGAAGCGCCGUUUCUCCUCCAUGGCUUCUCGCCGACGCCCUCGCUGCGGCCUUCCGGGCCCCUCGGUUGAUAAAAGGACUAAAUAGUGACGGACAUUUUUAAGGCUACUUAAGAAAUGGCAAAAAUACAUUUAGAGACCAGAAGACGGGAAACCGUGACUGCCGCACCCUUCCCUGAAGCAGGCACUGCCCGUCGUCCAUCAAACGCGAGGACUGCGCCCACCUCGUAGGAAGGACGCCGCGGUCCUGCUAAAAGCCUCCGCCUCUGCCUGCCCGAGGGCACCCUUCCCCUCCCCGCUUCCGAGGGCGGACUCCAUUCCUCUGGAGCCGGUGUUUCCGGGUGGGCCAGCCUCCAACUGCCUUUGAAUAACCCCCCCUUACAUUAGAUUCUGACCCUGUGGUGAUUUUAGGUUGGGAUUUGGGCGCCUGCAGAUGGCUCCGAAGCCAGCCUCUUGUGAUCCGAGCCACUUCUCUGGCACUCGGAGCGCUGGCACCCGCGGAGCGGCCUUGGUUCACCGGACCGCCUGGGAACCUGGCCGGGGUCUCUGGCAGCCUCCCAGGGCUGAGGUUCAGACUCUGUUCCGCCUACCCAGGUCCACACCUGAUAGGGCUGGAGUUGAGGCUUGGUUUUAAGGCAAGAGUUUCGUUUGUUAUUUCUCCAAAGAGUCAGCUGUUUGCAGGUGUGUGGUUAACACUAUCCUUCGAGGUUAAGGUUUUGUUCGUCUUGCUAAAGUUUGCAACCUUUUUUGUCCUUCAGAUUUGGAGAAGGGGAAAGCAGUUUCUCUUUGAAAAGAAGCAGCGAAUCGUGGCUUAAGCAAAAUUUGUAAUCCUUAAAACUGGCCAGGCUCUGGAGCUGAGUUCAAUUUGACAUGUCUAAACUUUCUUCUUGAGUAACCAGAUUUUCCCUUACAGUCUUUUGUCACUUAAGAGAACUCAUAGGCAAUCGUCCAUCCAAAACAAGUCUUUCUCCUUCAGGGAGGACCCAUCUUUGGAAACUCCAGCUGGUUUCCUGUGCAGUGCUUAUGGUGCCACCUCUCGUUAUAUUUAGAAAAAUGGUCUCACGUAACUUGAGAAAAAACAUUUCAGUGACCAAAGCCGGGUACCAUUGGAACACCAAGUGAGCUCCUGGGAAACAAAAAUUUCAAGGACCACAGACUUCAACCAGGAGAUUUUGUCUAUUGGAAAUGACAUUUUUUAAAAAGUCUCUGCAACCUGCUAUGGACCUUAUCAGGUACUCCUGACCAGCCUUCACCAUAAAAUUAGAAGACGACCCUUGAAUUCACAUCUCCCAUCUAAAGAAAUCUGAGCCUCGGCUGGGCGCGGUGGCUCACUCCUAUAAUCCCACCACUUUGGGAAGCCAAGGCAGGUGGAUCACCUGAGAUCAGGAGUUCGAGACCAGCCUGGCCAACACGGUGAAAUCCCAUCUCUACUAAAAAUAUAAAAAUUAGCCAGGCAUGGUGGCGCACCUGUAAUCCCAGCUACUCAGGUGGCUGAGGCAGGAGAAUUGCUUGAACCCGGGAGGCAGAGGUUGCAAUGAGCCGAGAUUGUGCCACUGCCCUCCAGCCUUGGUGACAGAGUGAGAUUCCAUCUCAAAAACAAAGAAAACUGAGCCUCCGAAAUGGGCUCUUGUACCAGAAGGUGAUACCCUGGGACAGCUGGGACAGUGUUCUUUGGGUUAUGCCGGUCACAAGGUCAAAUAUUUCAUACCGUUUCACACUCACCAAUCUUCCUCAUCUACAGUCUUGUCAGAUUCAUCCUGUAUUCCAUUGGUAUCAUCAUUUAGCUUCUGUCUUUCUGCCAUAACUGGGUAUUGAAGGCGUUACUUGACACGUAGAGGCCCUCACCAGUUACACACAAAAGGCCUUAAGAUAUAGCCAGGUAUCUCAUGAUUAAAUGAUAAACUUACCUGAGAAAAUCUGUAUUAUAAAACCAUAUGGCUUUAGACAUACUCACCGCAGCUCGAGGGUAACCUGUGCUAUCGUAAAACUAAAAGCUGUGUCUGUAUCCCAGAUAAACCAAAUAACAUCACUAAAUUCAUGGCUGAUGUGAAAUCCACAUAAACCAACCUUUCAGAGCCAAAACCUCCUCCAAACAACUGGCUAAAUAGCUGGUUGGGAUCUUGGCAAAAUUAGUGACAAAAACUGUUAACUUAUUCUAGAAAUUACAAUCAUUUUUUACGUUUGUCCUGUUUGCUCAGGCUCAGCAUAAAGGGAUAAAGUGGAUGCAAAGGGACCUUAGUGACAGCAAACUGUGUCUCUGACCCACGUCUUCCAGUUCAAAUACUUUACAUCUUCAUUGGGAUCUUCGAUUGUAUCAAAAGAUGUUUAAAAAGCCAUUUGCAGGCCAGGCACAGUGGCUCAUGCUUGUAAUCCCAACAGUGGGAGGCCAAGGCAGGUGUAUCACUUGAGGUCAGGAGACCAGCAUGGCCAACAUGGUGAAACCCUGUCUCUAGUAAAAAUCCAAAAAUUAGCCGGG